AUUGAACGCUGGCGGCAGGCUUAACACAUGCAAGUCGAGCGGGGUGAUGGUGCUUGCACUAUCACUUAGCGGCGGACGGGUGAGUAAUGCUUAGGAAUCUGCCUAUUAGUGGGGGACAACAUCUCGAAAGGGAUACUAAUACCGCAUACGUCCUACGGGAGAAAGCAGGGGAUCACUGGUGACCUUGCGCUAAUAGAUGAGCCUAAGUCGGAUUAGGUAGUUGGUGGGGUAAAGGCCUACCAAGGCGACGAUCUGUAGCGGGUCUGAGAGGAUGAUCCGGCACACUGGGACUGAGACACGGCCCAGACUCCUACGGGAGGCAGCAGUGGGGAAUAUUGGACAAUGGGGGGAACCCUGAUCCAGCCAUGCCGCGUGUGUGAAGAAGGUCUUAGGAUUGUAAAGCACUUUAAGUUGGGAGGAAGAGCAGUUAACUAAUAUUUGACUGUUUUGACGUUACCGACAGAAUAAGCACCGGCUAACUUCGUGCCAGCAGCCGCCGCCG
rnacentral:rRNA from 1 species